GAGAUCAGCACACAGACACAUGCAGAGUACAGAUCGUGUGAAGAUGAAAAAGGCAGCCGUCUUCAUACUGAGGGAAGUUUCAAAAGAAACGAAUUGUACUGACAUCUUGAUCUUGAAAUUUUGCCCUCCAAAACUCCACCAACUUUAGGGUACUUUGUGAUAGAAGCCUUAGGAAACAAAUACUGGAAUAGAGGAAACAGAGCCCUACCACCUGCACGUCAUGGAUGGUUCUUCUGAUGAAUCUGCAUAGAACAGAGGCUGGGAUUCUAUAUCCUAUGGACCUAAUUCAUCUACAUCCAUUUUUUAAGCCUAAUGAGUUCCAUGAAAGGGCUCUGAGAUGGAUAUUCUGAAUCCCUAUUUCUCAGAGGAAUAAAUGGAAGAGGAGAGGCGAAGCAAUUUUCUUGGCUCUGAUUUUGGUAAAUCACAACCAGCACUUCGAAUGCGUGGUUUUGACCACUUUGGUUCUACCCUAGAGCUGAGGGUAUCUAUUUAUGGGGACAACUCAUCUAGUGGGAUUCCUAAAGUGCUGAGAUAUCUUUUGAGCUCCUGGGCAUCUCAGUACAAAUCUCAGCAAUAGAAAUUCAUCUUAUGGAUCAACAAGUCCCUCUUUGAAGAUGUAAAAUAAGGAAGAUAUGUUGCCUGGUGGGGAAAGGAGCUGCAUGAGGAUUGGCAAAGGAGUGAGAGGUGGAGAGCAAUAUUGCCAGGCCUGGCCAAGACCCAGAAGGGAAGAUCUGGAGGAGUGGGCAUCAGGAAGUAGAGGGAAAGGAAAAGGACAAGCAUCCAGCACAUGCCAAUUUAUUCUUCUUCCUUAUGAUUCUCCUGCUUAAUUGGUGUUACUGAGAGAGACUGGUACUUCGACAAACAGAUCAUGGGCUUGACUUAUUUUAGUGAUUCUUGCAUUCUUAUCAUCUUUUCCUUGCUGCCCUCUGACCAACCUCUUGUCUUACCUCACAGUGAUCUAUAUACUUACAGCCUCGGCACUGACAAGCUUCUUGAUGAUGAGCAAGUUGGCUCUGAGAGAAUUCCUUGCCAAGAGAGAAGUCCUACACAAGGAGAAUGCUCCCCACCAGAGCAUCAGUAGAGCAAAUCUGUGGAUUCUAUUUUCAGGCAGGCUAUAAAUUCUGGACACGGCAUUAGUUAAGAGAAGAUGGGACAUCAGUAAAUAUCAGGGUCACAUGGUUUCCAGUUAAAAUGGAAUCAGCAUGACAUUGAUAUGAUACAUUGUGUUCUUUGCUCAGAGAUGUUCUUGGGUGACACAGGAAACUUGGGAUGUUUCUUCUCUGCCAAGUAAUAAUCAAGUGGGGGGGACUGGAAUGGAAAAUUAGUUUUGUAUUUGAAUGUCCUUAGAAAGAAACUGAAAUUACAGCCCCUUAUGUUGGUGGUACCAUCUUAACAGAGUGAAAAUAACUUGUUUUUCUGUCUCACUUUUCAGUGAAUGAUAGAAAAUGGUGUACGUGAUAAAGGAGUUUUCAUUUUCAAAAAGGAUUUCCAAAGAAAGACUGGAGUGGAUCUAUCACACCAU